rnacentral:tRNA from 3 species
GCCCUGGUGGCACAGCUGGAUAGCGCGUCCCCCUCCUAAGGGGAAGGUCGCAGGUUCGAAUCCUGCCCAGGGCGCCA